CGCUCUAACCCCGUCUGGCUCCCAGACACUCUCUCUCUUUCUCUCUCUCUCUCUCUAUUUCACACACUCGCACACAUGGUGUCUGCGAGGCUGUUGGGCGCUCCCUCGGAAGACUCGCUGCAAUCUUCUGGAUUCUCACAGUCUGAGUUUUAAGAAGGGAGAGUAGGAAAAAGUGCAAAAAAAGUAACAGUGUUUGCCGGUGUUUCUCUCUCUCUCUGGUCUGUAUCAGUGGGCUGGUCUCCUGUGCCUGCUGUGCUGAUAAUCAGUGUCUCUCUUCAGCUGGCUCAGUUCAGCAGGAACAGGGGCCUGGUCUUGCCAACAUAACACCUUAGAGACACACAUCCACAUCCACACACACACACAGAUUCAUGCCACCAGAUGUACACUCUGGGAAAGUCCACACUCCUGCACCUUCCACAGCUGGAACCCAGAGAGACAAGGUUAUGUACAGUUUAUUUAAGUUAUUAAUGUGAUCAUUUGUGAUAAUAAAAAUGUAGCCUACCAAUUACUGUCUGGCGCCAGUGACUUGUCCUGUGACAUCAAUAAAAGUAAUACAUCAAUAAAUGCUAAAAGGCUUCGAUUCA